rnacentral:rRNA from 1 species
GACGUAGGGCGCGAGCGUUGUCCGGAUUUAUUGGGCGUAAAGAGCUCGUAGGCGGCUCGUUGCGUCAACCGUGAAAACUCGGGGCUCAACCCCGAGCCUGCAGUCGAUACGGGCAGACUAGAGUGCUGUAGGGGAGACUGGAAUUCCUGGUGUAGCGGUGAAAUGCGCAGAUAUCAGGAGGAACACCGAUUGCGAAGGCAGCUCGCUGGGGACGCGACUGACGCUGAGACGCGAAAGCGUGGGGAGCAAACAGG